AGCGAACGCUGGCGGCAGGCCUAACACAUGCAAGUCGAACGAACCCUUCGGGGUUAGUGGCGGACGGGUGAGUAACACGUGGGAACGUGCCUUUAGGUUCGGAAUAACUCAGGGAAACUUGUGCUAAUACCGAAUGUGCCCUUCGGGGGAAAGAUUUAUCGCCUUAGAGCGGCCCGCGUCUGAUUAGCUAGUUGGUGAGGUAAUGGCUCACCAAGGCUACGAUCAGUAGCUGGUCUGAGAGGAUGACCAACCACAUUGGGACUGAGACACGGCCCAAACUCCUACGGGAGGCAGCAGUGGGGAAUCUUGCGCAAUGGGCGAAAGCCUGACGCAGCCAUGCCGCGUGGAUGAUGAAGGUCUUAGGAUUGUAAAAUCCUUUCACCGGUGAAGAUAAUGACUGUAGCCGGAGAAGAAGCCCCGGCUAACUUCGUGCCAGCCGCCGCAGUAAUAC
rnacentral:rRNA from 1 species